UCUUCCGCAAUGGACGAAAGUCUGACGGAGCAACGCCGCGCGAGUGAUGAAGGUUUUCGGAUCGUAAAACUCUGUUGUUAGGGAAGAACAAGUACCGUUCGAAUAGGGCGGUCCCUUGACGGUACCUAACCAGAAAGCCACGGCUAAAUACGUGCCCGAAGCCGCGGUAAUACGUAGGUGGCAAGCGUUGUCCGGAAUUAUUGGGCGUAGAGAGCGCGCAGGCGGUUUCUUAAGUCUGAUGUGAAAGCCCCCGGCUCAACCGGGGAGGGGCAUUGGAGACUGGGGAACUUGAGUGCAGAAGAGGAGAGUGGAAUUCCACGUGUAGCGGUGAAAUGCGUAGAGAUGUGGAGGAACACCAGUGGCGAAGGCGACUCUCUGGUCUGUAACUGACGCUGAGGCGCGAAAGCGUGGGGAGCGAACAG
rnacentral:rRNA from 1 species